rnacentral:rRNA from 1 species
AUGCACGCUGGCGGCGUGCCUCAUCCAUGCCAGUCGCGCGAACAGACGAGGAGCUUGCUCCUCUGACGUUAGCGGCGGACGGGUGAGUAACACGUGGAUAACCUACCUAUAAGACUGGGAUAACUUCGGGAAACCGGAGCUAAUACCGGAUAAUAUAUUGAACCGCAUGGUUCAAUAGUGAAAGACGGUUUUGCUGUCACUUAUAGAUGGAUCCGCGCCGCAUUAGCUAGUUGGUAAGGUAACGGCUUACCAAGGCGACGAUGCGUAGCCGACCUGAGAGGGUGAUCGGCCACACUGGAACUGAGACACGGUCCAGACUCCUACGGGAGGCAGCAGUAGGGAAUCUUCCGCAAUGGGCGAAAGCCUGACGGAGCCACGCCGCGUGAGUGAUGAAGGUCUUCGGAUCGUAAAACUCUGUUAUUAGGGAAGAACAAAUGUAUAAGUAACUAUGCACGUCUUGACGGUACCUAAUCAGAAAGCCACGGCUAACUACGUG